rnacentral:rRNA from 1 species
UUAAGCGACUAAGCGUACACGGUGGAUGCCCUGGCAGUCAGAGGCGAUGAAGGACGUGCUAAUCUGCGAUAAGCGUCGGUAAGGUGAUAUGAACCGUUAUAACCGGCGAUUUCCGAAUGGGGAAACCCAGUGUGUUUCGACACACUAUCAUUAACUGAAUCCAUAGGUUAAUGAGGCGAACCGGGGGAACUGAAACAUCUAAGUACCCCGAGGAAAAGAAAUCAACCGAGAUUCCCCCAGUAGCGGCGAGCGAACGGGGAGGAGCCCAGAGCCUGAAUCAGUGUGUGUGUUAGUGGAAGCGUCUGGAAAGGCGCGCGAUACAGGGUGACAGCCCCGUACACAAAAAUGCACAUGCUGUGAGCUCGAUGAGUAGGGCGGGACACGUGGUAUCCUGUCUGAAUAUGGGGGGACCAUCCUCCAAGGCUAAAUACUCCUGACUGACCGAUAGUGAACCAGUACCGUGAGGGAAAGGCGAAAAGAACCCCGGCGAGGGGAGUGAAAAGAACCUGAAACCGUGUACGUACAAGCAGUGGGAGCCUCUUUUAUGGGGUGACUGCGUACCUUUUGUAUAAUGGGUCAGCGACUUAUAUUCUGUAGCAAGGUUAACCGAAUAGGGGAGCCGAAGGGAAACCGAGUCUUAACUGGGCGUUAAGUUGCAGGGUAUAGACCCGAAACCCGGUGAUCUAGCCAUGGGCAGGUUGAAGGUUGGGUAACACUAACUGGAGGACCGAACCGACUAAUGUUGAAAAAAUUAGCGGAUGACUUGUGGCUGGGGGUGAAAGGCCAAUCAAACCGGGAGAUAGCU